GAUGAACGCUAGCUACAGGCUUAACACAUGCAAGUCGAGGGGAAACGACAUCGAAAGCUUGCUUUUGGUGGGCGUCGACCGGCGCACGGGUGAGUAACGCGUAUCCAACCUGCCCACCACUUGGGGAUAACCUUGCGAAAGUAAGACUAAUACCCAAUGAUAUCCCACGAAGGCAUCCGAAUGGGAUUAAAGAUUUAUCGGUGAUGGAUGGGGAUGCGUCUGAUUAGCUUGUUGGCGGGGUAACGGCCCACCAAGGCAACGAUCAGUAGGGGUUCUGAGAGGAAGGUCCCCCACAUUGGAACUGAGACACGGUCCAAAACUCCUACGGGAGGCAGCAGUGAGGAAUAUUGGUCAAUGGGGCGAGAGCCUGAACCAGCCAAGUAGCGUGCAGGACGACGGCCCUAUGGGUUGUAAACUGCUUUUAUAAGGGAAUAAAGUGAGUCUCGUGAGACUUUUUGCAUGUACCUUAUGAAUAAGGACCGGCUAAUUCCGUG
rnacentral:rRNA from 1 species